AACAACACACUAAAAAAAACCUAGAGCCUCCAUCUUCCUAAACACCAAGCAUCAGCCGCCAACCAUUCCAGCCGAUGUCCGCCAGCUUGAACCAAACGAACCAACGUCGAACUACCCAAGCAGCGAACCAAACCUUUCCGUCGCUGCCUCGUCGUCCAGCACGACCAAACGACCUGCUGUGUCGUCCAUAACCUUCCCCACGCCGGACAGACCACUCGAACCAGCCGCCCAAACCUCCACCCUAAGGACCAAACCCACCGAACAAUCGUCACUCUACACCAGCGACCCCCCAUCUCAUAACCCCUCUGUCGCCGACCUCCUCUUCUCAAAAGCCAACACAGAAGCUCUUCAUCACACAGCCGCACCAACCCUUCUUCACCUUUCACCGGCGAACACUUUCAAUGGACCCACGACCACCGGUAACCCCCACCUCUCUUCUUAUCUCCAUCUGAACCCGCCGUUCCCAACCAGUCCCUCACCAAUCACAUACAAGCACAUUAUCGAAAAUAGAGGUAGGGAACGAUUCAAGUUUUAUUUUCAUUUUUAAAAUCAGAAAAACAAAAAAGAGAAUUAUGCUUCUUCAUUUAUUUUCUUCGAAUUUUGGUUUUGAAUAUGGAAUUUGAUUGAGCCGUGGUUGUUUCGAGUUUACUGUUGUUGAUUGCCGCUCGAGAGUUCUAGUCCAGAUUUGCUAUUCUCAUCCGAAAAUUUGGUUGAGAUUCAUUGGUCGCUCAAUUUUGCUCUGCUAUGUUGCUAUAACUGUUCGAGUUUCUAUAUUUAAAAAGCAGUUUCAGGUUCAUCUCUCUUUCCCGUCCCUAAAUUUUUAGUUUGAUCUCUAUGGUGACUCUUGCUUAUUUGUUGCUUUGAUUUGGUGUUCUACAACUUGUGUGGAGUUUGUAUUAUACAUGACUUGAUCUCUAUGGUGACUCUUGCUUAUUUGUUGCUUUGAUUUGGUGUUCUACAACUUGUGUGGAGUUUGUAUUGAAUAUUAAGAGUUAACUUUCUAAGAAAAUGACGUUUAUUAUUCUAAUUCACCUUACGCUUCUGCUAUGGCGAUAUGGAUAUAUUCUUUUUCAUAGGAAUUUGACUUGAGAGUACUGUCCUUUGCUAAAUAUUUCAUAUGUUCUAGGAGUUGGAUUUGGUGCAAAUGAAUGAAAUCAAGAUCUAAAUGAAAACGAGUAUGAACUAACCUUAGUUUGCUUGGCUUUACCGUAUUUCUAAUUUUUUCUUGAAUUUAUCUAUUGGAGAAUGCCUGCUUAGGCUGACCACACAUGGGUAGAAAAACUUUAGGAUUUUUGUUAAUUUGAGACGAGAGGUCGUUUUCGUAGUUAAAUUUAUCCGGGGAAUGCCUCGUGAAGUUUGUAUAUAUUAUUAUCCGAGGUAUGCCCGAAGUACGUUGUAAAUAUUUUGGAGGUCGUGGCGCGUUUGUGAAGGAAGCAUAGUGUAGUAUUUUACUCUUAUUUUUCUUUUAUUAGGUGGGGACGACCUCGAGCCCUUUUGUAUGUUUAUUUUUCUGUGUUUGUUUUACCUCAAUCGAAUAUUCUAAAAGCCAACUAGACCGAGUACCCAACCGUGACUUUCACAGGACUUGGGGAGUGCCUAACAGCUUCUCUCCGAGUCAAAUGAACCCCUUUACCUGAAUCUCUAGAGUAGACUUAAUUUUUAGAGUCUCAAGUGUUUUAAAAGGAAAGUUAUUUCUAAAAAUCGGUGGCCUAGCACACCGAAAUCAAAUUCCACGUGGCGACUCUGAGUUAAUCAGUUUGAAACACAAUUUUUUGUCACUUUUCAAUUGAAAAAAAACUUCCAAGCUUUACUAAAUUUUUUGAUUAAUUUAAAAGGGUUAAGUAUAGUUUGUUUUUAAAAAAAAAGUGUGUGACAAAUUUUUUUACAUUAAUCGCAUAUAAAACAGCAAUAACAAUAGCAUACCCAGUGUCUUUUCACGUGUAGGUUUGAGAGGAUAGUAUGUAUACAGAUCAUAUCCCGGCCGUAUGGAGGUAGAGAGCAUAUUUUUAAAAGACCUUCAGCUUAAGCAAGCACAGUCAGGAGUAAAGCAAAUUUAAAUAUAAAAAUAGUAGAGAGUCAUAGGAAAAGAAAUAGUAGCAACAACAAAAUACUAACUGACCGAAGCAUUAGCAACAUCAGAUAAUACUAAAAAUCGAAGGAAAAGACAAAACAAGAGUAAUACAUCAGCUAUCGAAAAGGAAGGAAAGUAUGCUCUACUGUUGUUGCUGCUGCUAACCUUCUACUAUUCUACUACUACUACUAACCUUCUACUAUUCUACUACUACUACUACUAACCUUCUACUACUACUAACCUUCUACUAAUACUAACCUUCUACUACUACUACUACUACUAACCUUCUACUACUACUAUCCUUCUACUACUACUACUAACCUUCUACUAAUACUAACCUUCUACUACUACUACUACUAACCUUCUACUACUACUAACCUUCUACUACUACUAUUAACCUUCUACUAAUACUAACCUUCUACUACUAUUACUACUACUAACCUUCUACUACUACUAAUUUUCGACCUUCACAACCUCCUCAAGAAUAAUGUCCUUAGUUAAUCGAUGAUGCAUAAUAUCCUGCAUAAUCUCCUCUCUCUAAUUCUUCGUUGGCCUUCUUCUACCUCUUGUCAGACUCAUGAUAUUCAACCUCUCACACCUCCUCACGGGGGGAGGGGUGCCUGGCCAUCUCCUUUCAUUUUUUGCAUGUUCGAGCUAUCUCAGCCUCACUUACGGCAUUUUAUCCUCCACAAGAGUCACACACACCUUGUCCUAAAUAACUUCAUUACCGACUUAUGUCUCCUAGUAAACCGAUACAUCCAUCUUAGCAUCCUCAUGUCCACUACUUUCAACUUUUAGAUAUAAAAGUUAUUGAAUGGCCAACGCUCCAUCUUAUAUGCAGCAUGGUCGGUCUAAUCACCAUUCCAUAGAAAUUAUCUUUUUAAGUGUUUUGUGGCAAUUAUUUCUAAGGAAAAAAAGAGGAGAAUGGAGUAUGAAAAUCUUAAUUGAACUUCUUCUAAAAAUCCAUUAUUCGAUGAUUUUAAAAAAGAAUAAGUAUACAAAUACGUGUAAUGGUUUUAUUUCCACAAAUUUGGAGUGACAAAUUGGUGGGCCACUUGAUUUAUAAAAAGUGACAAUGAUGAAAGAUAUUGUUUAGAUACUUUCAAAUCAAGAUGCCACACGUUUCCUACAACUUUGGUUGUUUCAAUCCUCGCCAUAGUUCGUUGAUAGUGAUGGGUUUUGUAUAAUAUCCAUCUCCUUCUCACGUAGAAAUACAGACUAUUAUUGAUCUCUAUUUCCCUUAUUAGUAUCAUGCUCACGUCUAACUCAUUCUCAAAUAGAAACCUCCCCCAAAAGGCAUAAUAAAAUUCAACACUAAUGAUGCAGCCAAAAGCAAAGUUGAAGUUGGUGGAACAGAAGGCAUCUUGAGGAAUCACAAUGUGAAUGGAUGCUAGGUUAUAUGGAAAACAUUUCACACACAUCGGCCAUUGAAGCUGAAAUACGAGCCCUUCGACAAGGCCUCAUGUUGGCAGAACAAAACAAUCUUCUACCUUUGCAUAUAGAUACAGACUCUUCAGAAUUAAUUUCCAUGCUAAUAGAAGGUAACGUUAUAUUUGACCUUCUAAUUUGUGAAUGCAGGUGGUUGAUUCAAAGGCUGAGCAGCGUGGUGGCGAAACAGACGUUCAGGGAGCAAAAUAGAUUGGUUGACGCAUUGGCAAAGGAAGCAGUGGAACAUAGUUUUUGGAACAGUCUUGUUAUUUUGUUAGUUCCACCGAUGUUUGUUAAUAACACUUUUUGGGAAAACAUCGUGGGAACUGACUGCCUAGAUCUUUCGGGAUGUAAUAUGGAUACUAUAAUGCAAAACAUUGCAUCACUCGGUACCCUGCGGUACCCAACUAACUCUGUUGUAACAGUACCAUCUUAGUAUUUAAUAUAUGCUUCUUUAAACCAAAAAAAAAAAAAGCAUAGAAAAAACCAACGCCAUUAUGACAUCACUUAAUUAAG
rnacentral:lncRNA from 1 species